rnacentral:rRNA from 1 species
AUUGAACGCUGGCGGCAUGCUUUACACGUGCAAGUCGAACGGCAGCGCGGGCUUCGGCCUGGCGGCGAGUGGCGAACGGGUGAGUAAUACAUCGGAACGUGCCCAGUAGUGGGGGAUAGCUCGGCGAAAGCCGGAUUAAUACCGCAUACGACCUGAGGGUGAAAGCGGGGGAUCUUCGGACCUCGCGCUAUUGGAGCGGCCGAUGGCAGAUUAGCUAGUUGGUGGGGUAAAGGCCUACCAAGGCGACGAUCUGUAGCUGGUCUGAGAGGACGACCAACCACACUGGGACUGAGACACGGCCCAGACUCCUACGGGAGGCAGCAGUGGGGAAUUUUGGACAAUGGGCGAAAGCCUGAUCCAGCAAUGCCGCGUGUGUGAUGAAGGCCUUCGGGUUGUAAAGCACUUUUGGCGGGAACGAAAAGGACUGUGCCAAUACCACGGUUCGAUGACGGUACCCGCAGAAUAAGCACCGGCUAACUACGUG